rnacentral:rRNA from 1 species
AUACAGGGCCUAAAUACCCUAAAGGCACCAGAUCUCACCUGAUCUUGUAAGUUAAGUAGGGUCAUUCCUGGUUAGCAGUUGGAUGGGAGACAACCUGGUAGUGCUGUAGGCUAUAUUUC